rnacentral:tRNA from 1 species
UGGCACAGUGGUGAAAGCGCUCGGCUGCUAACCGAAAGGUCGGUGGUUCGAACCCACC